AGCGAACGCUGGCGGCAGGCCUAACACAUGCAAGUCGAACGAAGUCUUCGGACUUAGUGGCGGACGGGUGAGUAACACGUGGGAACGUGCCUUUAGGUUCGGAAUAACUCAGGGAAACUUGUGCUAAUACCGAAUGUGCCCUUCGGGGGAAAGAUUUAUCGCCUUUAGAGCGGCCCGCGUCUGAUUAGCUAGUUGGUGAGGUAAAGGCUCACCAAGGCGACGAUCAGUAGCUGGUCUGAGAGGAUGAUCAGCCACAUUGGGACUGAGACACGGCCCAAAAUCCUACGGGAGGCAGCCGUGGGGAAGCUUGCGCAAUGGGCGAAAGCCUGACGCAGCCAUGCCGCGUGAAGGCUGAAGGUCUUAGGUUUGUAAAAUUCUUUCACCAGUGACGAUAAUUACGGUACCCGGAGAAGAAGCCCCGCUUAACUGCGUGCCAGCAGCCGCAGUAA
rnacentral:rRNA from 1 species